GAAAGAUGAUUGUGACAGCUGUAGACACUGCAUCAUCACUGCCACUUGCCCAUGUAUCUUGAACAAGGGCCCUCUGGGGUUAAACUGAAGGGCUAGGCACUGCAGAUUGGAUAGAAAAAUCAGACUAAGGCUUGUCAUUCAUCUCUUUAAAAAGAAAACGUAUUGUUCAAAUAGAGGAAGAUCUGCUGAGAGGAGUGUUCAGGUAUGUGGAUUCAAAGAGUACUCAAGCUGAAGUUUAGGGAAGCAGAGGGAGGCCAUGUUACCAUUAUUUGACAUUAUUGUCACUAUUUUACUUAGGGAGUGCUAUCAUUUCCUUAAAAACGGACGAAAUACAACAUUGCUCUGCAAAUCCAGAUUUGCUCCUUCAGCUGACCAAGAAAGCAAGAGAGAGAGAGAGAGAGAGACAGAAAGAAUUUUUUAUUUUGCUCCCUAUAGGUAUGUCUAUGUGUGUCUCUGUUUGUCUUAGGUGAAAUAUGAAAAUCCAACCUGUGGGGAAAAGGUAUCUGGGAACAAGGAGGCCCAUUGAAUUUAUGGGCUGGAGCUCAGAGAGACAGACCUAAACAGCUGGUAUUUCUCUCCUCUCCCUGACCGCCUUUCCCACCCAACUCCAACCAGGGACAAUGACAUUCACUCUGAAAAUAAGCUGGACAUUCUGCAGAGCAGCCAUGAAUCCAUAAUGCCGAAGCCUGCUUUCACCCACCCGUGGCUCCAGUGCCAUAUCAGCUGCCUCAGUUUCCCCUUGGCUAGGCUUCCUUACCUUACCUGUUUUAGUCACAACUAGUCUAUGUUACAGGAAGCGUAACCAUUCAGAACAUUGCUUUGUUACCUUUCCUUACCUAUGAAGCAGAGGUGAGACCUAAAGUAAUAACCAAAGGCUAAAAUGAGAGGCAACAGAACCAUGUGGAUACAGAGCGUCAAAAGAACUAGGACAGACCUGCAUGUUGUAGGUCCUUCAUUGAUUAUCCCAAGAGAGAAAUCAUAAGUACUAAUGAAAUCAUAAGUACUACAAUAUCACCAUGACAGUCAAAUACUACAUAGACCUUUUCCAUCGCUCUCUCCACAAGGUUACCAUUUUGAAGAGACUAACGGCAUGACCCAAUGCAUGUCUACUCAGAAAUAAGCCCUGCGGAGUUCAUCUAGAUUUCCUUUAGGCGAGUAUGUACAGGACUGCAGCCAGAGGUACAUUUUGAAAACUUACCCCUAAGUAAGGAAGGGGGGGGGAAAGGUGGAGACACAGCACCAACAUCAACAAAAACUAGACAGCACACAGCAGCAUCAACAUUUAAAAUUCCUCCCAUGGGCCGGCUUCUUGAUUUUGUCACCCAGAAAAAAAAUCCUGUUGAAGUCAAUCACAGUUUUGUCAAAAGGCAGCAUAGCCGGGAUCGUAUCCUUUUAUAAUGUUUAUGCCAGCGCACUAACAUAAACAGCACUUACACAGACUGUCCUUCAUGGCUAGUUUUUCAUCCGUCUCCAAGGGCAACAGAAGGAAAAGCCAGGUGCCAGACUUCUCCACCUGAACAGGAAGGAAUAAGUGAGGCUUAGACUCUGAAGGGCCAAAGUCUUCACUAGUGGACAUUUAAGGUGAAGUCAAGGGAAACUUAUUUUGCUAUAAGUCCUGUGGAACAGAAGCUACAGUCACAAUGCCACUUUUAUUUGAGGUAACUGGUUGUAAGGAUGCUGCAAAACCAGCAAUUUGUGCUUUUUCACAGUAGCCCAGCUACACCCUCAAAGGGGCCAGGCAGUACCAGGGGACUGUACCAACAGUGAUCCAUCCAUUGACCCUGGUUGUCUUCAUAGUUUAAGUGGAAUGGCUGUACAUUUAUUAUACUAUCAGGAAAAGCAGAACAUACAUUUAAAAUCACAUUUUAAACACUCAGAACCAAAUAGCAGCAUUGAAAUUCAGCAUGGAAACACAGUGGAACAGGCAAAACUUAAUUUUAAGAAUAUUGACUGAAAUCUUGUCACUUAGCAUAGUAAUUUGUCACUAGACUUAGGCCCAUUGAAUCUGUAGACUACGGGAGGUCCACUGAAUCCCUGGGUGGGGAUAUGAUGUAUCAACUCCUCUGUACGUUUUAUUGACUCAGUGGACCUAUUCUAAUUGUGACUUACUAUGCUAAGCAACAGAAUUUCAACUACUAUGUGCUCUACAUCCUAAAGAAAUGCAGCUAUAUAUGCUUGGUGAUAGAACCAAGUUAUCAUUGGUAUUGGGCAAGCUGCCGUGAGGAGAGCAUUUCAUCAGUGGGUGUCACAACCUCAAAGGCCCUCUCUUUGGUCACCGUAGGCCUGAAUUGAGCUUGGAUGCCUGCCUGCCUGUCCAGGCUUAACGAAUAAAGUGUCCUCAGGCUGCCUGUCCUGAGACUAU
rnacentral:lncRNA from 1 species